rnacentral:lncRNA from 1 species
AGGACGUGUUGCUUCCCCUUCCACUAUGAUUCUGCAUUUCUUGAGACCUCCCGAGCCAUGCAGAACUGGUCUCUUUCUGCCUCCCAAGCUGGAAUGCCAUGAUGCGAUCUUGACUCACUUCAGCCUCAGCCACCCGGGCUCAGGGCUCAGGUGAUCCUCCUACCUCAGACUCCUGAGCAGCUGGAACUACAGGAAUUGACUUGCUUUGGCCAAGAAAUGUGAGCAGAAGUGAUGAGAACCACUUUCAACCAAAGUUUUAAGAGUCAUCAUAUGAAGAUACUUGAGGCCUCCUUAAAUUAGUUGCAGUAACACAUGGAACAAGAGAUCCACAUUCUCCAACAAUAUAGAAACCAGAAUUCAGCAGCUCUGCAAGAAAUCUAGUCAACACAUUUAUUAUGAUGAUUUAUUAUUCACUGAGCACCAACUCAGUGCUUCUUAUAA